AGUUUUCCCUCCCUUCUGCUCUGGUCCCUGUCCUAUUCAUUAGGUUCUGCAUGUGAGUGAAACCAUAUGAUAAUUGUCUUUCUCUGCUUGACUUAUUUCGCUUAAGCAUAAUCACCUCCUGUUCCAUCCAUGUCGAAGCAAAUGGUAGGUAUUCAUCCUUUCUGGUGGCUGAGUAAUAUUCUAUUGUUUUCUGCUUCUCCCUCUGCCUCUGCCUGCU